UUCCAAGCUACUAAGAGCCAACGGUGAAUGCCUUGGCGACUACUACCGAAGAAGGACGUGGGUGGCUGCGAAAAGCCACGGUGAGCUGUCUACCGAGCUUUGACCCGUGGAUGUCCGAAUGGGGAAACCCUGCACUCGUAAUGGGGUGUAACUCCCGCCUGAACACAUAGGGCGGGUAGAGGGAACUGGGUGAACUGAAACAUCUAAGUAACCCAAGGAAAAGAAAGCAACAGCGACUCCCUGAGUAGCGGCGAGCGAAAUGGGAUGAGCCUAAACCGACCUGGUGCCAAGCCUGACGGCGUUGCCAGAUCGGGGUCGUGGGACCAAAUGGGAGGGGCGUCAGACCUUCCACAGAGUUAUAAAUCUGUCAGCUAGCAGAAGUGUCCUGGAAAGACACGCCAUAGCGGGUAAUAGCCCCGUAUGCGAAAGCUGAGCAGACUCUGAUUUGUGCUCCCGAGUAACACCGGAUCCGGGAAAGCCGGUGUGAAUCUGCGAGGACCACCUCGUAAGGCUAAGUAUACGUAGUCGACCGAUAGUGAACUAGUACCGUGAGGGAAAGGUGAAAAGUACCCCGGGAGGGGAGUGAAAUAGUACCUGAAACCGUUGGUUUACAAUCAGUCAAAGCGUCGUCUGGAACUUGUUCCAGGCCGCGAUGGCGUGCCUUUUGAAGAAUGAGCCUACGAGUUACGGUGUGUGGCAAGGUUAACCCGUGAGGGGAAGCCGGAGCGAAAGCGAGUCUGAACAGGGCGUUCAGUCGCAUGCUGUAGACCCGAAGCCGAGUGAUCUAUCCAUGGGCAGUGUGAAGCGGGGGUAAGACCCCGUGGAGGCGCGAACCGACCUAGGUUGAAAACUGGGCGGAUGACCUGUGGAUAGGGGUGAAAGGCCAAUCAAACUCGGUGAUAGCUGGUUCUCCGCGAAAUGCAUUUAGGUGCAGCGUCGCAUGUUCAGUCAUGGAGGUAGAGCACUGGAUGGGUUAGGGGGCCUACAAGCUUACCAACCCCAGCCAAACUCCGAAUGCCAUGACUCCAGAGUGCGGCAGUGAGUCCUCGGGGGAUGAGCUUCGAUGGACGAAAGGGAAACAGCCCAGACCGCCGACUAAGGCCCCAAAGUUCUGACUAAGUGGUAAACGAAGUGGGAUUGCACAGACAGCCAGGAUGUUGGCUUAGAAGCAGCCAUCAUUAAAAGAGUGCGUAAUAGCUCACUGGUCGAGUGAUCCCGCGCGGAAAAUGUAACGGGGCUCAAGUCAGACGCCGAAGUCGCGGAUUUCUGCAUAGCAGGAGUGGUAGCGGAGCGUCGAGCCUGGAAUGAAGCGGCGGUGUGAACCGACGUGGACCGGGUUCGAGUGAGAAUGUAGGCAUGAGUAGCGAGAGAGGGGUGAGAAACCCCUCCGCCGGAAGUCCAAGGGUUCCUGGGGAAGGCUAAUCCUCCCAGGGUGAGUCGGGAGCUAAGGCGAGGCCGAGAGGCGUAGUCGAUGCACAACCGGUUGAUAUUCCGGUACCACAGGUUGCGCGACAAACGCUGACCUGCAGUUGCUAAGGGGAUGGUUGGUCCUUCGGGAUCAACAGGAACUAACCCACUGCGGCGAAGCGAGUGAUGCGGGGACGCAGGAAGGUAGAUGAUCCCAGGCGAUGGUUGUCCUGGGGCAAGCGUGUAGGUCGAGGCGUAGGUAAGUCCGCUCCUCAUAAAGACUGAGACGUAACGCCGAGCCGUUUAAGGCGAAGUCAUUGAUCCUAUGCUGCCAAGAAAAGCCGCUAGCGAGUGCAACAAGUGCCCGUACCCCAAACCAACUCAGGUGGACAGGUAGAGAAUACCAAGGCGAUUGGGAGAACUAUGGUUAAGGAACUCGGCAAAAUACAUCCGUAACUUCGGGAGAAGGAUGACCGCAUCAGGGUAAAAGAACUUAGCGUUCUUAGCUCGAAGCGGUGGCACAGACCAGGGGAAAGCGACUGUUUACUAAAAACACAGCAGCGUGCUAAGUCCUAAGACGACGUAUACGCUGUGACGCCUGCCCGGUGCCGGAAGGUUACGGGGAAGGGUUAGCUCUAGGGCGAAGCUCUGAACCUAAGCCCCGGUAAACGGCGGCCGUAACUAUAACGGUCCUAAGGUAGCGAAAUUCCUUGUCGGGUAAGUUCCGACCUGCACGAAUGGCGUAACGACUUUCCUACUGUCUCAACCAUAGACCCAGCGAAAUUGAAGUACGAGUAAAGAUGCUCGUUAGCUGCAGAAGGACGGAAAGACCCCGUGGACCUUUACUACAGCUUGGUAUUGGUAUUUGUUAUGCGUUGUGUAGGAUAGGUGGGAGACUUGGAAGCGUCGGCGCUAGCCGGUGUGGAGUCAACCUUGAAAUACCACCCUGCGUUUGACGGAUAUCUAACUUAGGCCCGUUAUCCGGGUCGGGAACAGUGCCAGGUGGGUAGUUUGACUGGGGCGGUCGCCUCCUAAAAAGUAACGGAGGCGCCCAAAGGUUCCCUCAGUCUGGUUGGCAAUCAGACGUCGAGUGCAAUGGCACAAGGGAGCUUGACUGCGAGACCUACAAGUCGAGCAGGUGCGAAAGCAGGGCAUAGUGAUCCGGCGGUUGCGUGUGGAAGCGCCGUCGCUCAACGGAUAAAAGGUACCCCGGGGAUAACAGGCUUAUCUUCCCCAAGAGUCCAUAUCGACGGGAAGGUUUGGCACCUCGAUGUCGGCUCAUCGCAUCCUGGGGCUGAAGCAGGUCCCAAGGGUUGGGCUGUUCGCCCAUUAAAGCGGUACGCGAGCUGGGUUUAGAACGUCGUGAGACAGUUCGGUCCCUAUCCUCUGCAGCCGGAGGAGAUUUGAGAAAAGCUGUCCCUAGUACGAGAGGACCGGGAUGGACGUAGCUCUAGUGUGCCAGUUGUUCCGCCAGGAGCAUGGCUGGUUGGCCACCUACGGAAGGGAUAACCGCUGAAAGCAUCUAAGUGGGAAGCCCGUUUCAAGAUGAGAUCUCCCACCGGGUUAACCGGGUAAGGCCCGUGGCAGAACACCACGUUGAUAGGCCGGAGGUGUAAGUGCGGCAACGCAUUCAGCCGACCGGUACUAAUCGGCCGAGGGCUUGGUUAC
rnacentral:rRNA from 1 species